UACGUAGGGUGCAAGCGUUGUCCGGAAUUAUUGGGCGUAAAGAGCUCGUAGGUGGUUUGUCGCGUUGUUCGUGAAAACUCACAGCUCAACUGUGGGCGUGCGGGCGAUACGGGCAGACUGGAGUACUGCAGGGGAGACUGGAAUUCCUGGUGUAGCGGUGGAAUGCGCAGAUAUCAGGAGGAACACCGGUGGCGAAGGCGGUUCUCUGGGCAUUACCUGACGCUGAGGAGCGAAAGUGUGGGGAGCGAACAGG
rnacentral:rRNA from 1 species